GGUGAGUAACGCGUAUCCAACCUGCCCAUCACUUGGGGAUAACCUUGCGAAAGUAAGACUAAUACCCAAUGACGUCUCUAGAAGACAUCUGAAAGAGAUUAAAGAUUUAUCGGUGAUGGAUGGGGAUGCGUCUGAUUAGCUUGUUGGCGGGGUAACGGCCCACCAAGGCUACGAUCAGUAGGGGUUCUGAGAGGAAGGUCCCCCACAUUGGAACUGAGACACGGUCCAAACUCCUACGGGAGGCAGCAGUGAGGAAUAUUGGUCAAUGGACGAGAGUCUGAACCAGCCAAGUAGCGUGCAGGAUGACGGCCCUAUGGGUUGUAAACUGCUUUUAUAAGGGAAUAAAGUGAGUCUCGUGAGACUUUUUGCAUGUACCUUAUGAAUAAGGACCGGCUAAUUCCGUGCCAGCAGCCGCGGUAAUACGGAAGGUCCGGGCGUUAUCCGGAUUUAUUGGGUUUAAAGGGAGCGUAGGCCGGAGAUUAAGCGUGUUGUGAAAUGUAGACGCUCAACGUCUGCACUGCAGCGCGAACUGGUUUCCUUGAGUACGCACAAAGUGGGCGGAAUUCGUGGUGUAGCGGUGAAAUGCUUAGAUAUCACGAAGAACUCCGAUUGCGAAGGCAGCUCACUGGAGCGCAACUGACGCUGAAGCUCGAAAGUGCGGGUAUCGAACAGGAUUAGAUACCCUGGUAGUCCGCACGGUAAACGAUGGAUGUCCGCUGUUGGUCUGAAUAGGUCAGCGGCCAAGCGAAAGCAUUAAGCAUCCCACCUGGGGAGUACGCCGGCAACGGUGAAACUCAAAGGAAUUGACGGGGGCCCGCACAAGCGGA
rnacentral:rRNA from 1 species